rnacentral:tRNA from 1 species
GGUGCCGUCGCCAAGCGGUAAGGCCAAGGUCUGCAAAACCUUUAUCGGCGGUUCGAUCCCGCCCGGCACCUCCA